GACGAACGCUGGCGGCGUGCUUAACACAUGCAAGUCGAACGGAAAGGCCCUGCUUUUGUGGGGUGCUCGAGUGGCGAACGGGUGAGUAACACGUGAGUAACCUGCCCUUGACUUUGGGAUAACUUCAGGAAACUGGGGCUAAUACCGGAUAGGAGCUCCUGCUGCAUGGUGGGGGUUGGAAAGUUUCGGCUGUUGGGGAUGGACUCGCGGCUUAUCAGCUUGUUGGUGGGGUAGUGGCUUACCAAGGCUUUGACGGGUAGCCGGCCUGAGAGGGUGACCGGCCACAUUGGGACUGAGGUACGGCCCAGACUCCUACGGGAGGCAGCAGUGGGGAAUAUUGCACAGUGGGCGGGAGCCUGAUGCAGCAACGCCGCGUGCGGGAUGACGGCCUUCGGGUUGUAAACCGCUUUCGCCUGUGACGAAGCGUGAGUGACGGUAAUGGGUAAAGAAGCACCGGCUAACUACGUG
rnacentral:rRNA from 1 species